rnacentral:rRNA from 1 species
UACGUAGGGCGCAAGCGUUGUCCGGAAUUAUUGGGCGUAAAGAGCUCGUAGGCGGUUUGUCGCGUCGGCUGUGAAAACUCGGGGCUCAACCCCGAGCCUGCAGUCGAUACGGGCAGACUAGAGUGCUGUAGGGGAGACUGGAAUUCCUGGUGUAGCGGUGAAAUGCGCAGAUAUCAGGAGGAACACCGGUGGCGAAGGCGGGUCUCUGGGCAGUAACUGACGCUGAGGAGCGAAAGCGUGGGGAGCGAACAGG